AUUCUUCCCUUGAUUAUCCCCACUGCACCUUUUGCCCUAUAGGAAUGCAACUCUAUCUAGUGCUUUCAGGGAGUGGCGCCAAACUUUAAGAAAAAUCACCUUUGGAGAAAGUAAGUUUUUCUGGUUGACUAACCUUUAUCAGAAGAAGAAUGUUAGCAGGUCUCCUGACCAGAAGAUGAUGUAAAUCACCUAAAGCCUUUGUAUAUGAUAGGUUUGCAGAAAGAAAGCCUGGUUUCGAUAAGGGUCAAGGACUGCUGACCUUGCAUGACUUUGCACCCCCUAUUAUCUUCUACAUACAACUUAGGGUAUAAAAGCUCCUUCUGAAAAUAAAGCUAUGGGCCUCUCUCACUGAAGCUUGGUCUCCCCGUGUCAUUCUUUCUCUCUCUCUCUCUCUCGCUGACGCCGACGCCGUCUCUCCUGAGGGUACCCCUGGAUCCUGCUGGGGCUGGACCCCAGUAAGUGGCACCUGAACAGGGUCCCGAAGGAGACCACCAGGACGCCCAGCUCGUGCAACUCAACAAGCCUCCAUACCUACCUGGGGACAGAUUAAGAUGCUCUGUCACCAGGCACAAGGGGUAGCUUCCCUGCAGGGCUCUCCAGCCUCUCCUGAGAGAGUGUUUAUUGCUCUGCUUGCCUUACUAUCUUGCCAGAAUUCUUUGACAGAGCACUCAGAAGCUUGCGACUGAAUUACAUCUGGCUGUCUUAAGAAACAAAAAAGGGGGAGAUGCCAGGAGCCAGCACGGGAAUUCCCACCCAUGACAAGGUCAUGCGGAAGAGGCCUGAUGGGCAAGGCGAGUCAGACCUCGAGGGGCCCCCCUGGACCUGCCUGAGCGUCUACCCCAAAACCAGAAUCUGUUUGUUUUACUAUUUUACGACUUUCACCAACUCCUCUGACAUUUAUGGGGGGCUAUCCCUGACCACCUUUCUCUGUAAGAAAAUCAACUUAGAGCUCUAGUUAAUAAGUCUCCAGGGUAUAAUAGGUGUGUUCCAAUUCAGAUCCCUCAGAUAGCUCUCUAACUUGCCUGAUAGGUUUCUGGACUCUUACAGCUACACAUGUGAUUGUUCACAGCCUCCCAACCAGAGAAGCACAGGAAGCUUAAGAUAUUCUAACAAUGCAGAGCUUCUAGGGGAGUUAAUAUUGUUAAAAUACAACUAAGUAGAGGAUUUCUUUGUUGAGCUAAUGCUUGCUGCCAAGUUUCCAUAUCCCUUACCCACUCACUGUGUCCCUGGGAGUGUAUUGAUUAAUAUAGUUGGUAUAUAGAAAAUAAGUAGAAGCUUUAAUGUUAACAACCUUAGACCCUUGAGUUAAUAAAUUCUCCCCUUGAUUAUCCCCACUGCACCUUU